rnacentral:rRNA from 1 species
GGGUUGUGAGGUUAAGCGACUAAGCGUACACGGUGGAUGCCCUGGCAGUCAGAGGCGAUGAAGGACGUGCUAAUCUGCGAUAAGCGCCGGUAAGGUGAUAUGAACCGUUAUAACCGGCGAUUUCCGAAUGGGGAAACCCAGUGUGACUCGUCACACUAUCAUUAACUGAAUCCAUAGGUUAAUGAGGCGAACCGGGGGAACUGAAACAUCUAAGUACCCCGAGGAAAAGAAAUCAACCGAGAUUCCCCCAGUAGCGGCGAGCGAACGGGGAGGAGCCCAGAGCCUGAAUCAGCAUGUGUGUUAGUGGAAGCGUCUGGAAAGGCGCGCGAUACAGGGUGACAGCCCCGUACACAAAAGCGCAUGUGCUGUGAGCUCGAUGAGUAGGGCGGGACACGUGGUAUCCUGUCUGAAUAUGGGGGGACCAUCCUCCAAGGCUAAAUACUCCUGACUGACCGAUAGUGAACCAGUACCGUGAGGGAAAGGCGAAAAGAACCCCGGCGAGGGGAGUGAAAAAGAACCUGAAACCGUGUACGUACAAGCAGUGGGAGCACCCUUUGGGGUGUGACUGCGUACCUUUUGUAUAAUGGGUCAGCGACUUAUAUUCUGUAGCAAGGUUAACCGAAUAGGGGAGCCGGAGGGAAACCGAGUCUUAAUUGGGCGUUAAGUUGCAGGGUAUAGACCCGAAACCCGGUGAUCUAGCCAUGGGCAGGUUGAAGGUUGGGUAACACUAACUGGAGGACCGAACCGACUAAUGUUGAAAAAUUAGCGGAUGACCUGUGGCUGGGGGUGAAAGGCCAAUCAAACCGGGAGAUAGCUGGUUCUCCCCGAAAGCUAUUUAGGUAGCGCCUCGUGAACUCAUCUCCGGGGGUAGAGCACUGUUUCGGCUAGGGGGCCAUCCCGGCUUACCAACCCGAUGCAAACUGCGAAUACCGGAGAAUGUUAUCACGGGAGACACACGGCGGGUGCUAACGUCCGUCGUGAAGAGGGAAACAACCCAGACCGCCAGCUAAGGUCCCAAAGUCAUGGUUAAGUGGGAAACGAUGUGGGAAGGCCCAGACAGCCAGGAUGUUGGCUUAGAAGCAGCCAUCAUUUAAAGAAAGCGUAAUAGCUCACUGGUCGAGUCGGCCUGCGCGGAAGAUGUAACGGGGCUAAACCAUGCACCGAAGCUGCGGCAGCGACACUCAGGUGUUGUUGGGUAGGGGAGCGUUCUGUAAGCCUGCGAAGGUGGCCUGUGAGGGUUGCUGGAGGUAUCAGAAGUGCGAAUGCUGACAUAAGUAACGAUAAAGCGGGUGAAAAGCCCGCUCGCCGGAAGACCAAGGGUUCCUGUCCAACGUUAAUCGGGGCAGGGUGAGUCGACCCCUAAGGCGAGGCCGAAAGGCGUAGUCGAUGGGAAACGGGUUAAUAUUCCCGUACUUGGUGUUACUGCGAAGGGGGGACGGAGAAGGCUAUGUUGGCCGGGCGACGGUUGUCCCGGUUUAAGCGUGUAGGCUGGUUUUCCAGGCAAAUCCGGAAAAUCAAGGCUGAGGCGUGA